AUUGAACGCUGGCGGCAGGCCUAACACAUGCAAGUCGAGCGGAUGAAGGGAGCUUGCUCCUGGAUUCAGCGGCGGACGGGUGAGUAAUGCCUAGGAAUCUGCCUGGUAGUGGGGGAUAACGUCCGGAAACGGGCGCUAAUACCGCAUACGUCCUGAGGGAGAAAGUGGGGGAUCUUCGGACCUCACGCUAUCAGAUGAGCCUAGGUCGGAUUAGCUAGUUGGUGGGGUAAAGGCCUACCAAGGCGACGAUCCGUAACUGGUCUGAGAGGAUGAUCAGUCACACGGGACCUGAGCCACGGUCCAGACUCCUACGGGCGGGAGCAGUGGGGAAUAUUAGACCGUGGGCGAGUGCCUGAUCCAGCCAUGCCGCGUGUGUGAAGAAGGUCUUCGGAUUGUAAAGCACUUUAAGUUGGGAGGAAGGGCAGUAAGUUAAUACCUUGCUGUUUUGACGUUACCAGCAGAAUAAGCACCGGCUAACUUCGUG
rnacentral:rRNA from 1 species